rnacentral:rRNA from 1 species
CCCAGACUCCUACGGGAGGCAGCAGUGGGGGAUAUUGCACAAUGGGGGGAACCCUGAUGCAGCGACGCCGCGUGGGUGAAGAAGUAUUUCGGUAUGUAAAGCCCUAUCGGCAGGGAAGAAAUUGGACGGUACCUGACUAAGAAGCCCUGGCUAACUACGUGCCAGCAGCCGCGGUAAUACGUAGGGGGCAAGCGUUAUCCGGAUUCACUGGGUGUAAAGGGAGCGUAGACGGCCAUGCAAGCCUGGAGUGAAAGCCCGGGGCCCAACCCCGGGACUGCUCUGGGAACUGUGCGGCUGGAGUGCGGGAGGGGCAGGCGGAAUUCCUGGUGUAGCGGUGAAAUGCGUAGAUAUCAGGAGGAACACCGGCGGCGAAGGCGGCCUGCUGGACCGCGACUGACGUUGAGGCUCGAAAGCGUGGGGAGCAAACAGGAUUAGAUACCCCCGUAC